rnacentral:tRNA from 2 species
AUUUAAAUAGUUUAUAAAAAUAUUGAUUUGUGGUAUCAAAGAUAUGAUUUAAUCAUUUUAAAUA